AUGCUUGCAUUUCAGCAAGAAAUGAAAAGGCAUUCUAAAAGACAGAAAGAAUAUACACACACACAGUGUUUGAAGAGACAAAUCAUCAGAACAAGAUGAAGAUGUGACACAGCUGCUACAAUUCUUGGACAGAAAUUUUAAAAUAACAAUGAUUAGUAUGUUAAAGGUGCUCAUGGAAAAAUUAGGUAACAUGCAAGAACAGUGAACAUAAAGAAAACCAAUUGAGAGAUGGUUGUGGGCAUUUCAUGUAACAACUAAUUUGGAAACAAGAAGCUGCUGUUGUACUGGCCAGGAAGGCCGGUGAUCAUGGCAUUUUAUAUUUCACUUGCACGAGAAAAAGCAGGUCCCUAAUAUGCAAUGCUAUAUCAGAGAUUUCUUCAAUAAAGCAAAGUCUUUGGACCCUCCCAGUGGUAUGUUCCUUCUUUCAGGGUUCACGCCAUCCACCCUGUCAUAACAGGAAAAGCUCAAUGCCCUAUGCAACACCCAACAUCCCAACUUUUGAUAACCAUGAAUCAUUUAAAAAACUCUCUUAAGAAAUAUUGAACUAAUACAUUCUAAAAAAUAUCAAAACUUUUGUGUUUAGAAAAUUUUUAAUGUUAAAAAAUUAAAACUUUUAAUUUAAAUAAAUUUUAGCAACCAAGUGGUUAAUUUAUUUUUAAAUAUUACCUAUUUUAUUUUGUUUUGGUUCAAACUCAGGAUGUAAACCCAAUUAUAAUCAUUUGAACUUUCUCAGGUCAAGUCCCUGGCAGCCCUGAAUGCUUCUGAUGUGCACCUCUCUAAGCUUCCUCCAAGUUUGUCCACAGUGCCAGUCAUCACCAAUGUGGCAGUGCACAGCUACAGCCACAGAUCAGGAUAGGAAGGCACAAGUGAGGCCUCCUAAGCUGGGCCCAGGGCCUUGUCAAGAGUGAGGCAGCUGUCCCAGGGAGAUCACGGUGUUAGGCUCUCAACCCCUCCCUUUCCUCACUGCAGAGGCUCUGGAUUUGCUGUCUGCAGAUGCCAACAUGAUCUGUGGAUAGAACUGAAUUGCACCAUCAUUGACAUUCUUUGAAUUUUAUUUUAGAGUUUAAAAACAUCAUCCUUGAGAAAGGGUCCAUGGCAUGAAAAAGGCUGCAAAGUCCUGCAAGUUUUCUUUACCAAAGAACUGUAUUUUGUGGGGAUCUGCAUCCCCGGAAAUACAACGCAAAUUUUAUCAUAUGUGCAUUCUUCUGUAAAGUAUCAGGGCUUUCACCAGCAUAAAAUGGGGUCUAGCAAGCCAAGAAGUUAAUCCCAUUGCUCCAAGGUGAGUUUGGUUCAACCUGACAGGUUUUCACUCAGUUUCUUUAGGCAUCUCAAAAAUGUCUUUCCACCCAGUUUCUAUCAGCAUGCACUAUUUAUUUUAAUUUAUUUUAGACCUACAGGAAAAGCAGCCAAUAAUUGAUCUGCAUGUUAACUACUCAUGCCUUUUUAUUUAAAUCCACUAGGCCCAGUUUAGGGUUUACAUUGUCAACUCAGUGCUUCAGGCAGCCCUACAUAUAUGACAUCCCUGCCCCAUGGGCAGAACAAGUCAUUUUGGGUCAGGACAUUUUACAAUUUACCAAUACUUCCACAAAUGCUAUGCCAUCUCAUUUUUACAGUAAGCCUUUAAGGUGAGAGUUAGUCCCCUCCCCUAACCUCCCAGUUUCACACUGGGGAUUUAAAGCAAGUCCCAGCCUUCGCCUGAUGGGGCAGGAGAGCCCUGCAAGGGUGCAAGGCUUUACACUCACUCCCACCUUAUGUCCCCAUCACUGGUCACUGGCAGUGAGCCACCCUGGGGAGUGCGAUGAGGGGAUACUCCCAGGCGUGUUGAGCAGCUCUCAGGUCUAGGGCAAACUGGGUCCAGGAGCUUAAGAACAGGUCUCCAAAGAGUCACAGGUGCCAAUCACUCGAAGCCAAAGCACACAGAAGCUUGGGGGCUGGGUGCAAAGAUAGAGUGAAAGGGAUUCAGGAGGAUUUAGGUGGAGCAUUGACAGUACUGCUGCAAGAAGACUGUUUCCCCCAGACAAAUCUGAAAUUAGAUAUAGGUCUUCAAACUUAAAAUAUCACUAUUGUGUUGAGCCCUCCGUUGUCUAGAAACCUUGCUUUUUUUGAAUAUUCCUGCUAUCCUACUAACCAGAGGGUAUACUUGAAACCUCAUUGCCACUCACUCUGUGCAGACUCUACUAUAAACCUACACAAAGUCGCCUAAUAAAUCCCAAAGGAUAUAAUAACAAGCCCUGCUAAAUUGAUUGCUAAAAAUAAUAAUAAUAAGAAGUAACAUUCUUUGUUAAUUCACUGGUGAUAACUGCGGCUUCCUUCAAUGUGACACAGGAUGGGACAGAAGGAGAGACUGAUGCCUAUUGAAAGAAUGACUUGAAUAGAAUAUCUAAAGUAAGAUGUAUUCACAGGAAAUGAAGUUUCAUUAGCUCAGAUGCCUCCAUAUGGAACUACUUGUUGGGUCAA
rnacentral:lncRNA from 10 species